rnacentral:rRNA from 1 species
GAACAUAAGAGUUUGAUCCUGGCUCAGAUUGAACGCUGGCGGCAUGCUUUACACAUGCAAGUCGGACGGCAGCACGAGUACUUGUACUUGGUGGCGAGUG